rnacentral:rRNA from 1 species
CGAACGCGAAAGUCCUUCGGGAUGAGUAGAGUGGCGGACGGGUGAGUAACGCGUAGGAAUCUAUCCUGUAGUGGGGGAUAACGUUUCGAAAGGAACGCUAAUACCGCAUACGCCCCAAGGGGGAAAGCGGGGGGAUCUUCGGACCUCGUGCUAUAGGAGGAGCCUGCGUCGGAUUAGCUAGUUGGUGAGGUAAAGGCUCACCAAGGCGACGAUCCGUAGCUGGUCUGAGAGGAUGAUCAGCCACACCGGAACUGAGACACGGUCCGGACUCCUACGGGAGGCAGCAGUGGGGAAUAUUGCGCAAUGGGCGAAAGCCUGACGCAGCCAUACCGCGUGUGUGAAGAAGGCCUUCGGGUUGUAAAGCACUUUCAGUGGGGAGGAAAAGCUGGUGGCUAAUAUCCAUCGGCCGUGACGCUACCCACAGAAGAAGCACCGGCUAAUUCCGUG